AUGGACUUUGUACUUGGUUUGCCUAGAACUCAAAAUGGAAAGGAUUCCGUGUUUGUUGUUGUGGACCGAUUCUCUAAGAUGGUUCAUUUUAUCCCAUGCAACAAGAUAGACGAUGCUUCACAUAUUGCAAAUCUUUUUUGUAGGGAAAUCUUGCGCCUCCACGGAGUGCCAAAGACGGACCGCGACGUCAAGUUCUUGAGUUACUUUUGGAAGACUCUAUGCGCCAAGCUCGGAAUCAAGCUUUUGUUCUCUUCGGCAUACCAUCCUCAAACCGACGGCCAAACGGAGGUGACGAACCGAACACUCUUCACUCUACUACGCGUGUUGAUCAAGAGGAACAUCAAGGAGUGGGAGGAAUGCCUACCUAUCGCUGACUACGCCUACAACCGUGCAAGACACUCCACAAUCGGCAAGUCCCCCUUCGAGGUCGUCUACGGCUUCAACCCGUUGUCCCCAUUGAACAAUCUACCUCUUCCACUACAAGAGCGCACCAACACGGACGCGAGUGCACGAGCAAGCUACCUCAAGAAGAUGCAUGACAAUACAAGGCUCACCAUCGAGCGCCAAGUACAACGACUCGCGACCAAGUUCAACAUCAACAAGCAACCCAUGAUAUUCAACAUCGGAGAUCUUGUGUGGCUACACCUUCGCAAGGACUGCUUCCCCAACGAACGCAAGUCCAAACUUCUACCCCGAGCCGAUGGACCCUUCAAGGUGCUAGCACGCUACAACAACAACGCUUACAAGAUCGAGCUCCCACGCGACAAGUACAACGUGAGCGACAUCUUCAAUGUCAAAGACCUCUCGCCAUACCAUGGUGAUGAAACUUUCGAUCCGAGGUCGGAUCUUUCCCGGGGGG
rnacentral:rRNA from 1 species